UGGGGAAUUGUUCGCAAUGGGCGCAAGCCUGACGACGCAACGCCGCGUGGAGGAUGAAGUAUUUCGGUAUGUAAACUUCGAAAGAAUAGGAAGAAUAAAUGACGGUACUAUUUAUAAGGUCCGGCUAACUACGUGCCAGCAGCCGCGGUAAUACGUAGGGACCAAGCGUUGUUCGGAUUUACUGGGCGUAAAGGGCGCGUAGGCGGCAUGACAAGUCACUUGUGAAAUCUCUGGGCUUAACCCAGAACGGCCAAGUGAUACUGUCGCGCUAGAGUGCAGAAGGGGCAAUCGGAAUUCUUGGUGUAGCGGUGAAAUGCGUAGAUAUCAAGAGGAACACCUGAGGUGAAGACGGGUUGCUGGGCUGACACUGACGCUGAGGCGCGAAAGCCAGGGGAGCAAACGGGAUUAGAUACCCCCGUAGUCCCUGAGCGGGCUGGCAAGGCGCAU
rnacentral:rRNA from 1 species